ACAUGCUAAAAGCUAAAAUGCUCAUGGUGGAUCCAGCAGCAGUGACUUCUGCGUUUAUGGAGGAACUUUUAUCUUCAGUGAGGAGCCCAGUGGGACAGAGCGACUGGGUGAAAUGGUUAUACUGGGACAGAGAGGCAGAGUAGACGGGUCAUAUUUGAGAAUGAACAAGCACAGAAGUUGAACCUUUUAAUUGAGGAAGACUUUGAGAUGCUCAAGACUGUCAUUUAGACAGUUCCCUAUAAAUGCAGAUCCAGACUACAGAUCCAGAAACCCUGGAGAGUCACUGACCACUUUAAAGGAGCCUGGUCUGCCCUGGCUCUGUGGAAAGAGUAUAAAGUUUCAUAAAUCCCAGGGGGGCGACACCGCAGCGAGGUCAGCCUUCAGCCACGGUGACACUUCACAGGUUUGCUCAUAAAACUGGAAAGGCUUGCUAUUUCCUUCUGUAUAACAAGACUUCUGUGCCUCUCCUGCC